rnacentral:lncRNA from 1 species
GGCACAGCUGGGAGGCCUGGGGACUGCAGAGGGUGGGGGAGGCAGGGAGUGGGCAUGGUAGGGGGAGGGGCCAGUGGUACAGCAGGAGGCUGCAGUACCAAGGGUCCUGUGGGUAGAGGAGGAUUUACCAUGAAGGCAUGCACCCAUAGGGCUUCCCUGAUAGCUCAGCUGGUAGAGAAUCGGCCUGCAAUGCAGGAGACCCUGGUUCGAUUCCUGGGUCAGGAAGAUCUGCNNNNNNNNNNNNNNNNNNNNNNNNNNNNNNNNNNNNNNNNNNNNNNNNNNNNNNNNNNNNNNNNNNNNNNNNNNNNNNNNNNNNNNCCUGGGUUCGAUCCCUGGGUUGGGAAGAUCCCCUGGAGAAGGGAAAGACUUCCUACUCUAGUAUUCUGGCCUGGAGAAUUCCAUGGACUAUGCAGUCCAUGGGGUCCCAAAGAGUCUGAGAAGACUGAGCGACCUGCCCUAUGCACCUGUGGAGCCUCGGGUUGGAAAGCUGCCUCUGAGACUCUGAAGAUUUUCCUGCUGAUACUCGCUCCUCCCCAGUAACCCUCCAUCCCAAGGAGAGCCCCAGAAAGAACACCAGGGGGGCCUCCCUGCUGCCUCAGAACCACCUCACCCACCACUCCAGGUAAGGCCGCGCCUGCCCACCACCACACCCGUCCUCGGAGUUUGCAUUUGUGAUGGAAACACAUCUUAAUGAGGAGAUUUUAUUUUACAUGAGGGAAUGACAGGGACCUUCUUCUGCUGGCUCCAGUUUGCAGGUUGUGGGGUCUGACAGGGACCCUCUUCUGCUGGCUCUAGUUUGCAGGUUGUGGGGUCUUCUGUGUCUUCAGGGAGAAGAACGGGGAGAAUCGCAGGACUGCAGGAAUGCCUUGGGUGGGAUUUUGUAAGGAGUGGCUGCUGAAAUCCAUCAGCCUGGCGGGGAGUGGUUAUUCCAGGAAGGAGGGUGGACAGGGCGCUCGGUCCACCGUCUAGUGUCAGCACGAAAUGCCACGGUGGCCAAGGUGGGGGUCUGACCCUCCCUUGCUUGGUUCCGUGCACCUUCCCCUGUGGCGCAGGGAUGGGAUCCGAUGCCUUCACCUGGCUCUAGAGGGAGCUCGUAAUUGCCCCGCUCCCUCCCCCAGUGGCUGGACUGUACUUCAACCCUGGAGUUAUUGGCAGGCGUCACAGGCUUAGGGCCUGUCCCCCGCAAGACCGCCCUACUUUUAGCUGCAGGUCUCAAGGACAUUUGCACUUCUGACCAAAUGGUUGCGAAUUCACAGGUUCCCACAACUGCCUCAGUUUCGAUAAUUUGCUAGAACAACUUGCAGUACUCGAAGUGCUGUGCUUUCCGUGAAUCUUCAGAAGAGAAUUCUUGCUGCCUCCGUGAAGGGGGUUGCAGGGCCCAGCUGCCUCGCCUUUCUGUGGGUCUGGGAACCAGUGUUCUCCUAAAACAGUAAGUGCUUGGUGUCGUGGAAGUUGAAAGCAAGGGACCGGCCGAUCCCGAUGGCUGGUCCGGCCAUGUGGGGCUGGGUGGGCUGGCUACGCAAGCUCCUUUUCCACCUGGAGCUGUUUCUGGGCGCACACGCCGUUUCUGGCCCCUUUGUGGCUUCUGAAGGUGUGCUUGCUGUUGGGAAACAGGAAAUGCGCAUCAAGGCUCUUCUCCCUUCCACUGGGGUGAAGUCCAGGGAAGAGAGGCAUCAAAGGGAAGACCCUGGUGUCCUGUUCGCCCUGAGUAGUAUGAGGCCUGCAGAGGGAACUGGGCUCUGUAUCACCUUCUGAUCACCUCCAGGUCGGGGGGUGGG